UACGUCAAGAAAGAAGAGAUUAUAAAUGUCUAGCAGGGACUGUUAGAAAUAUAUUUGGUGCCCUUGAUGAUUUCUCAAUCAAGACAGGGAACACUGAGGUACAACCACAUAGAGCAUCGGAGCUGCUACGGUAAAGGGGAAGGAGAGAUUCCUACUCUGGUUGAUGACACUGGAUCCUUGCAAGCUGGACAUCUCGGAACAACAGACACAGCUGUUCAACCUCAGAGGUUCUAGACUUCCCAUGUUCCAAGUCCACUUCUGCCGGCAGAAUAGAAACCUCGUCAGUUAUCACAACUCAGGGAGGACAAAUGGAUUCCUGAGGUGCAGGGCAAUCAACAGAUGAGAUCCAAGAGUCAGAACCCUGGAAUGGACCACCAGAACUUUCCCAUGGAGCCCCAGGACUUCUUCCCCCAAUUCCUGCUGUUUCUCCUCCUCCCUGUAGCAGGCUUCUUAAAGCAGGAUGAAAAAGCCUCACAGCUUGCGGUGUUGACAGUAUUCUAGAAGACCCUACACCC
rnacentral:lncRNA from 1 species